rnacentral:rRNA from 1 species
CAGCAGCCACGGUAAUACGAAGGGUGCAAGCGUUACUCGGAAUUACUGGGCGUAAAGCGUGCGUAGGUGGUGGUUUAAGUCCGUUGUGAAAGCCCUGGGCUCAACCUGGGAAUUGCAGUGGAUACUGGGUCACUAGAGUGUGGUAGAGGAUAGUGGAAUUUCCGGUGUAGCAGUAAAAUGCGUAGAGAUCGGAAGGAACAUCUGUGGCGAAGGCGACUAUCUGGGCCAACACUGACACUGAGGCACGAAAGCGUGGGGAGCAAACAGGAUUAGAUACCCCUGUAGUCCCUGUCUCUUAUAC